CUUCUUUCUUUCUUCACAUACCCUCCCUAUAUUAAGGGGGCUGGCUUGCCAGCUAUGACGAUAAACGCCCGUAUAAUAAGCAGGCUGGACCCGGGGGCGGUACCCGGCGGCUCCACCACAAGGGUUUGGAAACCGGAUUUCUGAACCUUUCUGAUGGGGCCGAAAUAGGAUCGACAGAUGUCUAAAAACGUAAGCUUUCGUCCGGAUUGGUAUCGUUAAAUGCCUACUAGUAUAGUUGCAAAUGACAACAAUGCUGAAGAGUUUGCUCUCGCUGCGUAAUGCGGUGCGAUAAACUCGCUUUUAACUCCAUAGCCCAUUAGCCGGCUAUGGCGGGCUUCGGGGGUAGCUGGCAACAGAAACCCCCACC
rnacentral:tmRNA from 1 species